rfam:Arabidopsis thaliana chromosome 5, complete sequence.
AAUCCGUGAUGAGGGCAUUUGGUUUAAUAACCCUUUAAGCGCUCUCAAGCGUCACAAAAGGUUUCAGUUGCUUUUGAGUGAAUGAGGUCAUUCCGGAGUCU